rnacentral:tRNA from 1 species
GGAGAUGUAGCUCAGUGGCAGAGCACUUGCUUGGCAUGCCUGAGGCCCUGGAUUCAAUCUGCAGUACCCCCA